rnacentral:rRNA from 1 species
AUUGAACGCUGGCGGCAGGCCUAACACAUGCAAGUCGAACGAGCGGCGGACGGGUGAGUAAUGUCUGGGAAACUGCCUGAUAGAGGGGGAUAACUACUGGAAACGGUAGCUAAUACCGCAUACUAUCGGAUGAGCCCAUAUGGGAUUAGCUAGUAGGUGGGGUAAAGGCUCACCUAGGCGACGAUCCCUAGCUGGUCUGAGAGGAUGACAGGCCACACUGGAACUGAGACACGGGCCAGACUCCUACGGGAGGCAGCCGGGGGGAAUAGUGGGAAAUGGGAGAAAGCGUGAUGCAGCCAUGCAGCGUGGAUGAGGAAGGCCUUCGGGUUGUAAAGUACUUUCAGCGGGGAGGCGUUACCCGCAGAAGAAGCGCCGGCUAACUCCGUGCCAGCCGCCGCGGUAAUAC